rnacentral:rRNA from 1 species
CAGUCGCCGCGGUAAAACGGAGGGUGCAAGCGUUAAUCGGAAUUACUGGGCGUAAAGCGUGCGCAGGCGGUUAUAUAAGACAGAUGUGAAAUCCCCGGGCUCAACCUGGGAACUGCAUUUGUGACUGUAUAGCUAGAGUACGGCAGAGGGGGAUGGAAUUCCGCGUGUAGCAGUGAAAUGCGUAGAUAUGCGGAGGAACACCGAUGGCGAAGGCAAUCCCCUGGGCCUGUACUGACGCUCAUGCACGAAAGCGUGGGGAGCAAACAGGAUUAGAUACCCCAGUAGUCCCUGUCUCUUAUAC